ensembl:lncRNA
AGUGCUAGUCACUCAGUUGGGUUUAAUUCUGUGACCCCAUGGACUAUACCCUGCCAGGCUCCUCUGUCCAUGGAAUUCUUCAGGCAAGAAUACUGGAAUGGGUAGCCUUUCCCUUAUCCAGGGGAUCUUCCCCACCCAGGGAUCCAACCCAGGUCUGCUGCAUUGCAGGCGAUUCUUUACCAGCUGAGCCACAGGGAAGCCCAAUUAAUAAGGGCACUUUUAAAAGAGAGACAGACAGGAAAAAAAAAAGAUUCAAAGCAAAAAAUUAAAACCCCAAACCCCUCUACUGCCUUACCAAAAUUAUCCCUGAGAAACAAUUACAUCGGCUGCUCUAUUCCUACUGUGGAGUAAGGGCCCCGAAGACAACUGUGGAGGAGGGAGCUGCCUGGAUUUUGCCCACAUUCUGAGUCUCUAGCCUCAGUUAAGAAAGAAAAAAACCUGUAGCAAUUAACCGUAGGAUACUGCAUGUGUCCUUUCGGUUUCAUUACUCAGAAACCUCACCCAUAACACAUGGCUGUAAAAACCUGCUCGCCUUUCAACUUUUAAGGAGCAGAGCAGGUUUCCGGAGGAACCAGACUCAAGGGGAGCCCCAGGGAAGAGCCAAAGCAGCUGGGAAUUUGAUACCCCGGUGCUCCAAAGCUAAAAGAAGAAUUAGAAGAAAGCUGCAUGAAUAAAGAUGGGAUCCUUCAUGAUACAGAAAAGACCUCAGCAGAGCAGUACGAAAGAGAAGCAGCUAAGAGGGAAAAGGAUUCUCUUGAGCAAAAGAUUAAAGAGCUGCUACAAAUGUUAGAGAACCAAGAAAGAGCCUUCAAGAUAUUUAGAGUCAAAAUCACCAGCAAGAUGAGAGAAAGAGACAAGCUUCUGAGAAGGAUGAACAAGAGGAUUGAGAGGCUGGAGAUCUUAAGAAAGAUAAGGGAAGAACAAGAGGAAUACUACAUGAAGAAAGAGGAGCAGAUCAAAAGAGAGGCAAGUGAGAGGGAAAAAGACCCUUCUGAGCGAAAGGUUAAAGAGCUGCAGCGACAGUUGGAGAACCAAAAGAGAGUUUUGGAGAGAUUAACAGCCAGAGUGAGAAAGGAGAUAAGAGAAAGAGAGAAGACCUCAGCAGAAGAGUGGGCCAGAGGAGAGGCAACUGAGAGGGCAAAGGAACCUCUUGAACAAAAGGCUAAAGAAUUACAGUCAAAGAUGGAGGGCGACAGAAGUGCCAUCUUGAAGGAAGUUAGACUCAAAACGACAAAGAUGAGAGAAAGAGAAAACCUUCUAAGAAGGAUGAACGAGAGGUUUGAGAUGUUGGAGAUCUUGGGGAUGAUAAAGGACGAGCUAGGGGAAUGCUGCAAGAAGACAGAUGAGCUUUGUAAUGCAGCCAAGACCUUGGCAGAAUGCACUAAAGGAGAGCCAUCUGAGAGGGAAAAGGAGCUUCUUGAGCAAAAGUAUAAGGAGAUAAGUCAAAAGGUGGAGGACCAAAAAAAAGACUUCGAAGAAUGUGUAGGCAAAAUGAUAGAGAAAACAAGAGAAAGACAAAAGAUUUCAGCAGAAGAGUAUGCCAAGAGAGUGGCAGCUGAGAGGGAAAAGGAACUUCUUGAGCAAAAGGUUAAAGAGCUGCAAGAACAGCUGGAAGACCAAGAAAGGGUCUCUGAGGAAUUAGGAGUCAAAAAGACAGAGAAGCAAAGAGAAAGAGAAAAGACAUCAGCAGAAAUGCUGGCCCAAUGGGAGGAUGCUAUGUGGGAAAAGAAGCAAAUGGUUAAAGAAUUGCAGCAAAAGUUGGAGGACCGAGAAAAAACGUUCGAGAGAUUUAGAGACAAACUCACAAAGGAAAUGAGAGAAAGAGACGACCUUCUGAGAAAGAUGAAUGAGAGGAUUCAGAUGCUGGAACGCUUACUGAGGUUACUAGAAACACUAGAGGAACAGGACAUGAAGAAAGAAGAGCAGGCCAAAAGAGAGGCAGCUGAAAGGGAAAACGAGCCUCUUGAACAAAAGGUUAAAGAACUGCAGCAAAAAUCGGAGAACCAAGAAAAAGUCUUCGAAGUAUUAAGAGACAAAAUGACAGAGGAGUUGAAUGAAAGAGAGAAAGCCUCAGCAGAAGAGCAGAUCAGACGAGAGGCCACUGAGAGGGAAAAGGAGUCUCUUGAAAAACAGGUUAAAGAAUUGCAGCAAAAUUUGGAGGACCAAGGAAGAGUCUUCCAGAAAUUAAGAACUGAAAUGACAGAGGAGAUGAGAGAAAAUGAAAAGGCCUCAGCAGAAGAGCAGGCCAAAAGAGAGGCUGCUGAGAGGGAAAAGCUUUUAGAGCAAAAGCUUAAAGAAUUGCAACAAAAGUUUGAGGACCAAGAAAGAGCCUUCAAGGUAUUUAGAGUCCAAAUGACAGAAAAGGUGAGAGAAAGAGACAAUUUUCUGAGAAAGAUGAAUGAGAGGAUUGAGAUGCUGGAGGCUGCAGUGAACAAUGAUAAUGACAAGGAUAAUGAGGAAAACACUGAAAAGUACUGAACUUCAUAGACACAGGAAGAUAAUGACAAAGAAAAUACUUCACAGCCUUUUGUUUUAAUCUCAGUUUGGGAGAAUAUAAAACAUGUGUGGUCACUAAUUACUCAGAUUUUUUGUUUGUUUCUUUUAAAUUCUGGUAAUAUUAAAGUUUUCACAAGUGCUUUUUUGAUCUGGAUUAUUUCUAUCUAUGUAUGUACUUUUUCUUUUAUCAUUAAAGUUUUAAUGUAAAAAAUAGAAAAAUCAUCUACUAUAGAACAUCAAUUCCUGGCCCACAAAGGAAAGAAUUAGUGUGGCUGGAUAAUUAAUUUAAGUGGAAAUGGAAGCAACUGAGUAGAAGACAAAGAGGUCAAAUUUGUAAUAUCUUGAAAAAAAGAAAAAUUUUAUUAAGUAAUGCUUCUGAAAGUCACAUAUGAAUAAUUAUACAAAUGAAUAUGUAUACUGGUUUCUUGAGAGGAAAGGACUAAUUUCUUAUACAAAACAACUGUGUUACUUCACUUGUAAAUUUUAUGUGUUUUGAGUUAAAAUUUCACAAAAGCUGAUUGUAAAUUUUAAAUUGAGCUGAUCAAACACAUUAAAAAGCCAUGAAAAUUCAGAAGGGGUACAGGGUUUGGGAAGUUUUCAGCCAUAAUUUCUUCUAUAAAUGAAGUUUAUAGAACUGCAGUCAUUAGAACAAUGUGCCAUCAAGGCAUAAAUCUGAAGACAAAGAAUAACAGCAUGCUGCAUAGUCUAAAAAUAGAACCAACAACAUACCUGAUUAAGGUUGUGUGAAUAGUGUUGUUUCAGAUCAGUGAGACAAUAUAAACAGUACAUGAAGUGCUGUCAGUCUACUGGACAGCCAUAUAGAAUGAGAGUGCCUAGAUCGCUUAUAAAUCUUGCACAAAUAAUAUUCCAGCUUGACUUUAGAUUUAAACAUUAAAAAUAAUCUUGAUAAAAACAGUAAAUGUCAGAUAAUUAUAAAAUAAAUGUGGAAACUUGAAUUUAUUUUUAAGUGAC